rnacentral:sRNA from 1 species
AAUGCGGGCACAAAAACAUCCAAAUUGGGAGUUUAUAAAUAAGUUGUCAUAUUCGGCGAUUCUGUGUCUGCAUCGAUACCUCUAGUACUCUUUAUUGAGUCACGCAUUGCGUAUUCUAUAUAACCUUUGUAACCAUGAAUUCAUGUAUACUUUUAUAAUGACAUUCUAAUUUUGUACGUCAUACUAGGGUAAAAUCCAGAUUGAAAAUAUAUCAACAAUUUUAUAAACAAGUUAUCAACAAAUUGUCAUAUUUAGCGAUCAUGUGUCUACUAUGAAAGCCCUGAUACUGCAAGUUACCCAUGUAUUGUUUUUUUUUUCUAUUUAUUUAACCUUUAUAGCCCUCUAGCCAUGUAUGAAUGAAUGUAUUAUGUGUAAGCGAUGCUUCAUACACAGGUGGGGGACUCAGAUACUCAAAACCUGCACCUAUACUCUUUGAUAGACAGUUUUGACAGUUUUGUUGCUUUAUUUAGAAAUAAAAUAUAACUCUGAAGUUUGAAUACUACGCGUUCACUCAUGGUCAUCGUAGAUGGGCCAAACUGGUCAGAACUGUCAAUCAUAAGUAAAAUCUUAUAUAAUCCCUUGUAAAAAGAAUUUUAUAUUGGGUUUUGAUUUAAGAACUUUAAUUUUUAGGUUUAUAAGAAUUUUAUUUUUAUAAUUUUGAAUUUUAGAAUUUUUCAUUUGGGGUUUAUAAUUUUGGUUUUAGAUUUAUAGAAUUUUAUUUGAUUUUGGAUUUUGAUAGGUUUUUGAUUUUUGGAUUCAGAAUUUUAUUUUAGAUCUGGAAUUUUAUUUGAAUGUGAAAUUUUAGAAUUUCCUUUUAGAUCUCUGAUUUGUACUGCAUUUUAUUGAUGUUUUAACUUUGACAAAACUAUACGAUCACGCUUGUUAAUAAACUGCUUGGUAACCAAC